CUUGUGCAAACCUCCUUUUCCUGGCCGUUUUGCCCGUCUAAACGGCGCGCCUCUCCCCCUCCCGCGUCAGUGACACCAGUGACAAAAUGGCAGCCCCUGGAAGCUGGCAGUCAUGUUCGGCUCGCUCGCACGCACGCACGGCGGAGGGAGGCAGGCGGGCGGCUGCCCCCUUUGGCUCCGAGGCGGCUAAGCGCCACCGUCCACCCCCCCCCACCGUCCGUUCCCGUGAUCGGAGUCCAAGCGUGCGAACGGGGGGGAGGGCGCGGGGUGGGUGGAGGCGCUUCCCUGCUUCUCUCUCUCGCUCGCUCGCUCUGCUGCUCCCGCCGCACGGGAAGGAAAAGGCGUCCGUGCAGAUUGCGUUCUCCUCCUCCUCGCGCGGAUCCAGAGGGCUCCUCCGCUUCCCAACCCAGCCUCUUCUCUCCUUUGCAGUUCGACGGGGGGAAAGAUGGCGCCGUGUCCUACUUCGGAGUGUGUGUGGCCAGCGCCAGCGAGGAGACCCAAGUUAGGCAGAGGCUUUCCGCGGGGCGGAGGCAGAGAGAGAGAGACCGAGGAGUGCGCUCUUCCGACGGAGCUCCCGACCCACAAGCAAGGCGGCUCCGGCGUCCCCACGAGCGCACACACAAAACACGCCCGCGGCCAGAGACGCGUCUGCCCGCACAAGCCUUAGUCAACACCCGCGACGGAGAGAGAGGGAAAAGCAGAACUGCGCCGGUGUGUGUGCCAUAAAAAGCGCCCCCCCCCCUU